AAAAUCCCGAACUUAGCUUUUCUAUGAUUUAGCUCUCCCACCUUUUAAAAAAUUAUCAUCGUUACAAAGAUGGCCGUUUACAUAACAGUGGCAUUCUUUAAUUCUUUACUAAAAGCAAAUUGCUUCAGGAUUCUCGUGAGGCACUGAAGAAGCUUAAAAUUAUAUUUAAUUUAUCGGUACUUCUUCAGAUGUAUCAAUUAUCAUUCACGUGGGCCAGAAAGAUAGAAGAGGAACACUUCUCUCCAAGAAAAAGCAAGCACAACAUAAGAAAAGUGGGUACGGGCUGGACGUGCCAGAGAGGGGUCUUGCGACUCCAGCUCUCUGCCACAGGGCUGCGUGAGGAACACGAGUGGCAUCCCUGCCAGAGCGUGGGAGGAAGGAGCAGACCCUAAGGGAGUUAGGCUCGUGGCUAUCUUAAGCCACAUUCUGCCAUGUUGGUUGGAGACAGAGACCAGAGCUGCUUCCUGAUUGUUUUUAUCCAGUGAAAUAAGAAUGCACCUGAUUGUAGUCUCUAACCCCGCAAGAAACUGUGAGUAUCACUUCAUGUUUGUAGAGCCUUAUAGUUGGAGCUUGCCUCUCCUCUGACCCUGAGCCAAUGAAACUCCACUUCUGAGCUGCAACUCAGAGAAGAAAUACAAACUAAUAGCAUUAGAGACCAUUAACCCAGAACACAAUUCUCUUCAUGAAACACACAGGACAAGACAAUGUUAAAAGGACACAACUGAACACACUGGUGUUCAUUUUUAACCUCAUUGCCUUACCUCCAGUAGCACAACCAAAUGUAAUUACAGCCAGCAGCAAAAGGAAAAGCAAGAUCAGAGACUCAAUCCUGAUUAAAAUAAAUAAAUACUGAAAAUAUAGAAAGCA
rnacentral:lncRNA from 1 species